rnacentral:misc_RNA from 1 species
UGGAGUGUCCAGCUAAAAUGAUGAUAAACCAAUCUACCAACAAUUGAGCGUCCUCAAAACCAGUCGUCGUUUUGACUUCUGUUGGGUGCAAUGCUGCGGUAAUGUCAUAGUUACACUGAUCCUCUUACAAGAGCUCUUCUGAUCAUCACGACAAAUUACUAACAUAGCUGUGCAAAUGACAGAUGGGUUAGUGUGGCUUUAUUGAUCCAAGUGGGGUUAAAUGCUCAGCAUCAGCGGGGAUGCCCC